GGGUAAGUCCGGUCGAGCAGCCGCGGGAAUACGGAGGAUCCAAGCGUUAUCCGGAAUCAUUGGGUUUAAAGGGUCCUUAGGCGGCCUUAUAAGUCAGCGGUGAAAGUUUUUGGCUUAACCAAAAAAUUGCCAUUGAUACUGUAGGGCUUGAAUUAUUGUGAAGUAACUAGAAUAUGUAGUGUAGCGGUGAAAUGCUUAGAUAUUACAUGGAAUACCAAUUGCGAAGGCAGGUUACUAACAAUGGAUUGACGCUGAUGGACGAAAGCGUGGGUAGCGAACAGGAUUAGAUACCCCAGUAGU
rnacentral:rRNA from 1 species